UGACAUUCAGUUCUGAAACCAGUGUAGCUUCAGAUAGAUAACAGGCAGUUAGAUUAUUCAACUGAUAACAGAAGUUUAGCAGAAUACUUUAUCUGUAGUGUAAAAUUACUUACAUAUAGGCCUAUAAUAUUUUGGCAAAUUAAGAGGCGACAAGAUUUAUCGAUUAAAUUGAAUUCAAAUUUAUUUAACUAAACCAAGAAACAGGUCUGAAUUUGUUCACAAUCUCUGUUCAGUGGUGCACUAUUUUUUGCUUCUAUUAAUUUGGAUUUUGUCUGAGACGUCAAUUAUUGCAAGAUUACCUACCUGAAAAUGAUUUUAAUCAUUCUGGAAAUAAUCAUCAUUACCUCGCACUCAUCAUAUCAGGUUCUGGGCGAUGAAAAUGUGUACAGAAAUUUCUUCAGAAAAAUAUCAAAUAGCAAUGGAGUUUCUAAUAGUUUUUUGAUGAACUCUGUUUGGAAUGCUCUAUCCACAAUAGAAGAUGUAGACAUGGAAAAUGUGUGUCUCAAGGAUUUGAAAUUAUUCGAGGAGUCCUAUAUCAGAGGAACGAUUUGGGCUUUAAGAAUGCUUGAUGCUACAUCCAAUUUCCAUUCUGGUUUUCUGCAAGGAAAUAUCAUAAAUCUUGGUGAUUUUAAACAAUGUUUGGCAAUUGUUGAAAGAUCUCCCCAUGUAAAAAAGCAAUUCAAUGAUAGUGAGGGAGAAUAUCAUAAAAGCGCCAAAGAUUAUCACCGUAAUGGAGAGAAACAUCACAAUAUCCGAAAACAGUAUCAUGUUAUGAAGGAACAGCAUAAUAAUAUGGGAGAACAAUAUCACAAUAUCAGAGGACAAUACUGUAUGGUGACGUUUUUUACACCGCAGUCGAAGUUUGCUCCCUUUGUAACACAGCAUUACAAUAUUCAGAGCGCUCUAUGUGUACCUUCCAGUUGUACAGUUCACAACAUAACAGCUAUUCUGAAGAAUGGAUUACUGGAAUUAGGGCGACAGAUGUAUUUUUCUGUGGAUGAUUGUGAAACUAGUAAAAGUUUGGAACCAAAGAUUGGAGCUGUUGAAAUUACUAUUCUUGUUUUUCUGGUUCUUCUUGGUUCAACAUUGUUCAUUGCAACUGUGACAGAUAUUUUGAUGUGCUAUGGACAUUCAAAACUUCAAUUCUAUGUGGAAAAUUCGAAUAAAUACACUCAACUUCAAGGUAUUCAACAAAUUUUUCUGAUGUUUUCUCUCAGAUUGAAUGUGAGAAGUAUUUUCAAAGUAGACACCAAAAAAAAUUCUAUUGGAUGUUUACAUGGACUGAGAUUCAUCAGUGCCUGCAUGAUUCUAUCCAUUCACAGAUUAAUAACGGAUCCGCAACCAUUUACCAAUUUAUUCAUGUUGGAUAAUGAGGUAAGAAAAUGGGAUAAACUAUUCCAAAUGAAUGCCUACCUAUUUGUUGAUGUCUUCUUCCUCAUAAGUGGUCUUCUGGUGUCCUACAAUUCAGCGAGAAUCCAGAAAAUGAAUGUUCUUCAAUCUUUCAUCCACCGGUAUCUGAGGCUUACUCCACCAUUACUGGCUUGUAUAUUUCUGACAAUUCUUCUGGACAUGGUAUGUGAUGGCCCCUAUUGCAACAGCAUCAAUAGACUAUCAAAAGAGCAAUGCCUCAACAAUUCUGUGUACAAUCUCCUUUACAUCAGCAACUUGGUGAACAGCUCUGAGAGUUGUUUACCUCACACCUGGUACCUUGCUGCUGAUAUGCAACUGUACUGCAUCUCUUUCUUACUCCUUAUUAUAGCCAGAAAGCAACCUCAGCAUAUUUUUAAACUCCUGGCUGCCUAUUGGUUGUUAUCUGUCAUCAUUACAUUUGUAGUGUCUUAUGUGAAUCAAAUUCAUGCGGGAUUUAUUGGCACAACUCAUUCUUAUGAAAUAGACUCUCUGCUGUUGUAUGAACAAUUCUAUAUGAGGGCGGGGCCCUGGGUUAUAGGGUUUGCUCUCGGAUUGCUGUUGAAGGACUCGAAGAAACUCCAGCUCAAAAAGGCAGAAAUGAAGAUGGGAUGGACCUUAACUCUCAUCUGUCUAUCAAUUUCUUACUUUGGAGUCUAUCCAUUUGUUCAGUAUGGGUUUGAACACGGAGCCAUUGUAGAUAGCCUCUAUAAUACUUUCAGUCAUAGUAUUUUUGCUCUGGCGGUGGGUUGGAUUAUCUACGCUUGUCAGAAGGGCCAUGGAGGAUUUGUCAAUAGUUUUCUCUCAUCUAUUUUAUUUCAACGUCUGAGUAAAAUGACAUAUUGCUUCUACUUGGUUCACCCAUUAGUACAAGCUCUCCAAUAUUCCCAGAUUGUCUCACCAAGAACCUACAGUGAUCUAUCACAGAUUUCUCUCCUACUUGGUGAUGUACUGUACAGCUUAAUGUUUGCUGCAAUUCUGUAUGUCGCUGUGGAAGCCCCUGUCGCCAAUAUUGAGAACAGGCUUCUGGAGAAAUCAAUUCAGGGAAAACAAAAUUCAGAAUGACAGGAAUGGUAAUUUGAGUCCAAAAUUUCAAGUUAUCAAAUUCCACAGUGAUUUUCAUAUGAUUGCUAAGUACUCUAAUCAACACUCUCAAAUAUGGCAAUUUAUUACGAUGAUUCCACUAUCUGGGAUUAUACAUUACACGAUGUCACUACAAUUCUUCUCACCUUCAUACCAUACUCCAUGCUAUUACUGAUCGCAUUUGGCAUUUUCUUGAAAUAUAAGGAAAACAUCUUUGAUAUUCUGGAAAAAAUAUAUGAUUUCAAGAACCAUGGAAACAUGAACCGCUUUCUGUCUCACUCGAAAAGUACUCAGCUGUCACCAGAACAGGAACUCAUACAGAAACUUCUAGAGAACGAGAAGCUAAAGGAUCAGAAGUUGAUGGAAGUAGGUAAAAGAUACAAGGAAUGAUUGGGGACACAAAUGAGAAGUUGCAAAGCUUCUCUCAACGAUUGGAUUGUUUCCAGGAAAUGAAAGAUUUGUGUACGACAAAAUAUGGAGAAAUAACUACAACUUUUAACGACUUUUCAAACGAUGUUAUGGGAAAAAUGGAAAAAAUGAGAAUGAAUUAUCAGGAACAUGUGGGUGAAUACAUUAAUUAAUAGGAUGGUGGAAAUUAUCUGAUGAAUGCAGAUUCAGUACAAGACCCUUCAACCAAGGAUGCUGUUCAAGAUUUCAUUAAAGUCGAUUCAGAAAUAGCAGGUCCAAAUGAGAAUGAAUUGAAGAGAAACUCCAGUCACCGUAGUAGGAUCCCAGUUUUUAGGAAGAUUUCAAGUCAAACCGCACACUACAUGUAACCACUGUACAAAUAAAUGCUUCAAAUGAA